UAACGUUUGUAGGUGAGCUCACGUGGCUCAAA
rnacentral:sRNA from 1 species